GGGAAUCUUCGGCAAUGGACGAAAGUCUGACCGAGCAACGCCGCGUGAGUGAAGAAGGUUUUCGGAUCGUAAAACCCUGUUGUUAGAGAAGAAAGUGCGUGAGAGUAACUGUUCACGUUUCGACGGUAUCUAACCAGAAAGCCACGGCUAACUACGUGCCAGCAGCCGCGGUAAUACGUAGGUGGCAAGCGUUAUCCGGAUUUAUUGGGCGUAAAGCGAGCGCAGGCGGUUUCUUAAGUCUGAUGUGAAAGCCCCCGGCUCAACCGGGGAGGGUCAUUGGAAACUGGGAGACUUGAGUGCAGAAGAGGAGAGUGGAAUUCCAUGUGUAGCGGUGAAAUGCGUAGAUAUAUGGAGGAACACCAGUGGCGAAGGCGGCUCUCUGGUCUGUAACUGACGCUGAGGCUCGAAAGCGUGGGUAGCA
rnacentral:rRNA from 1 species